rnacentral:lncRNA from 1 species
GGGGGGGGGCGGGGGGGAGGGCGGCACGGCGCGGGGGGGGGGGGGCACGCACCGGGGGUCCGCGCGCCGUCGGUCUGCGCACCGUGGGUGGCAGCGCCGUGGGUCCCCGCGCCGUGGGUCGCAGCGCCGUGGGUCCCUGCGCCGUGGGUCCCCGCGCCGUGGGUCCCCGCGCCGUGGGUCCCCGCGCCGUGGGUCCGCGCGCCGUGGGUCGCAGCGCCGCGGGCCGCCCCGCAGGCAUCACGGCGCUGUGGUCGCUGGCCAUCAUCUCGUGGGAGCGCUGGUUCGUGGUGUGCAAGCCCUUCGGCAACGUCAAGUUCGACGGGCGGCUGGCGGUGGCCGGGAUCCUCUUCUCCUGGCUCUGGUCCUGCGCCUGGACCGCGCCGCCCAUCUUCGGCUGGAGCAGGUGGGGGGGGGCUGCCCCACGGCUGCCCCACGGCUGCCCCACGGCCGCCCUAUAGCCACCCCAUAGCCUGCCCCACAGCUGUCCUGCCCCACAGCUGCCCCACAGCCGCCCCACGGGCACCCCAUAGCUGCCCCACAGCCACCUCAGAGCCACCCCAUGGCUACCUCCUGCCCCAUAGCUGCCCCAUAGCUGCCCCAUAGCCACCUCAUAGCCACCCCGUGCCCCAUAGCCACCCCACAGCCACCCCAUAGGCACCCCAUAGCUGCCCCAUAGCCACCCUGUACCCCAUAGCCACCUCAGACCCACCCCACAGCUGCCCCACGGCCACCCCGUGCCCCUCAGCCACCCCAUGGCCGCCCCAUGGCCACCCCACGGCCACCCCGUGCCCCACAGCCGCCCCACAGCUGCCCCACAGCCACCCCACAGCUGCCCCAUAGCCACCUCAGAGCCACCCCACGGCCGCCCCGUGCCCCUCAGCUGCCCCAUGGCUGCCCCAUAGCCACCCCACGGCCACCCCAUGCCCCACAGCCACCCCAC